UACGUAGGGUGCAAGCGUUAAUCGGAAUUACUGGGCGUAAAGCGUGCGCAGGCGGCUUUGCAAGACAGCUGUGAAAUCCCCGGGCUUAACCUGGGAACUGCAUUUGUGACUGCAGGGCUGGAGUGCGGCAGAGGGGGAUGGAAUUCCGCGUGUAGCAGUGAAAUGCGUAGAUAUGCGGAGGAACACCGAUGGCGAAGGCAAUCCCCUGGGCCUGCACUGACGCUCAUGCACGAAAGCGUGGGGAGCAAACAGG
rnacentral:rRNA from 1 species